CGGAAGGAAGCAGCCAUAGGCAGC
rnacentral:SRP_RNA from 14 species